GAUAUGGCCUUGCUGGAGGAAGUGUGUCACUGGGGGUGGGCUUUGAGGUUUCAGAUGCUCAAGCCAGGCUCAGUCACACUCUUGCUUCCUGUUGCCUGUGGAUCC
ensembl:miRNA predicted gene, 25603